GAUGAAGAACGUAGCGAAAUGCGAUAAGUAAUGCGAAUUGCAGAAUCCGUGAGUCAUCGAAUCUUUGAACGCACAUUGCGCCCUUUGGUAUUCCGAAGGGCAUGCCUGUUCGAGCGUCAUUAUCACCACUCAAGCCCGGCUUGUUGUUGGUGGCAGCGCAGCCGGUCAACCGGCUACGCUCCACCCAAAGAUAAUGACGGCGUCUGCGAGGACUCCUGUACAUUGAGCUUUCGGGCACGUACAUGGCUAGAAGUCCAGGCGCCGGUCGACGUCCUCCGGGACACUUUUUACCAAGGUUGACCUCGGAUCAGGUAGGGAUACCCGCUGAACUUAAGCAUAUCAAUAAGCGGAGGA
rnacentral:misc_RNA from 1 species